AUUGAACGCUGGCGGAAUGCUUUACACAUGCAAGUCGAACGGCAGCACGGACUUCGGUCCGGUGGCGAGUGGCGAACGGGUGAGUAACAUAUCGGAACGUAUCCAAUAAUGGGGGAUAACUAAUCGAAAGGUUGGCUAAUACCGCAUACGCCCUACGGGGGAAAGCUAGGGACCUUCGGGCCUGGCGUUAAUGGAGCGGCCGAUAUCUGACUAGCUAGUUGCUGGGGUAAAGGCCCACCAAGGCGACGAUCAGGAGCUGGUCUGAGAGGACGACCAGCCAGACUGGGACUGAGACACGGUACAGACUCCUACGGGAGGCAGCAGUGGGGAAUUUUGGACAAUGGGCGCAAGCCUGAUCCAGCCAUUCCGCGUGAGUGAAGAAGGCCUUCGGGUUGUAAAGCUCUUUCGCAAGGGAAGAAAACUUAUCCUCUAACAUAGGAUGAGGUUGACGGUACCUUGAUAAGAAGCACCGGCUAACUACGUGCCAGCAGCCGCAGUAACAC
rnacentral:rRNA from 1 species